rnacentral:rRNA from 1 species
ACGGUGGUGCAUGGUUGUCGUCAGCUCGUGUCGUGAGAUGUUGGGUUAAGUCCCGCAACGAGCGCAACCCCUGUGGUUAGUUGCCAGCAAGUAGCGUUGGGCACUCUAGCCAGACUGCCGGUGAUAAAUCGGAGGAAGGUGGGGACGACGUCAAAUCAUCAUGCCCUUUAUGUCCUGGGCUACACACGUACUACAAUGGCCGUUACAACGGGAAGCGAAGGAGCAAUCCGGAGCAAAUCCCUUAAAGGCGGUCCCAGUUCAGAUUGUGGGCUGAAACUCGCCCACAUGAAGGCGGAAUUGCUAGUAAUUGCAGAUCAGCAUGCUGCAGUGAAUACGUUCCCGGGCCUU